CCUACGGGGGGCAGCAGUGGGGAAUAUUGGGCAAUGGGCGCAAGCCUGACCCAGCAACGCCGCGUGAAGGAAGAAGGCUUUCGGGUUGUAAACUUCUUUUCUCAGGGACGAAGCAAGUGACGGUACCUGAGGAAUAAGCCACGGCUAACUACGUGCCAGCAGCCCCGGUAAUACGUAGGUGGCAAGCGUUAUCCGGAUUUACUCGGGGUAAAGGGCGUGUAGGCGGGGACGCAAGGCAGAUGUGAAAACCACGGGGUCAACCUGUGGCCUGCAGUUGAAACUGUGUUUCUUGAGUACUGGAGAGGCAGACGGAAUGCGUGGUGUAGCGGUGAAAUGCGUAGAUAUUAGGAGGAACACCAGUGGCGAAGGCGGUCUGCUGGACAGCAACUGACGCUGAGGCGCGAAAGCGUGGGGAGCAAACAGGAUUAGAUACCCCUGUAGUC
rnacentral:rRNA from 1 species